GUGAUGAGGCAGGUGUAGCAAGUUACGAAAUGCUUCGGGUUGUUGAAAAUAAGCAUAGAUCCAGAGAUUCGAAAAUAGGACAACCUUAUAAACUGAAUGUUGAAUGCAUGAGUAGGCAAGAGACAACCUGGCAAACUGAAACAUCUUAGGAGCAAAAGGAAAAGAAAGCAAUUGC
rfam:Triticum aestivum genome assembly, contig: Triticum_aestivum_CS42_TGACv1_scaffold_342567_4DL